rnacentral:lncRNA from 1 species
UUUGAAUCAUGGCUACUGGAAGCACUGAAGUCUUGUGAGGUGUUAAGAUGCAUUUUGAGAUGACUGGGAUGGCUAAGGUAAGGAUUACGGUGUCGCGAAGCUUCUGGAACAUUUGUCUGAUUUGCUUUUACUGGGCAAACAUGACACCUGUGUCUCAUUUUGAUCAGCACACUGGGAAGAAAUAUAGUCGGCUGUGCUAGAUUCUCUGCUGCUUAAGAUGAAGGGGGGUAUGAGCUACCUUACGCAAAGCUCUCUGGGAAAGGAGGCUUUAACCACUUUUUCCCUUCUUCAUAUCCAUAUUCAGGAGGUCCAGCCCUAAGACAUUGUUUUGGAGUCAUUUUUCUGAAUUCUCAUAACCAUGGAAGGAUGCUUGAUAGUGUGUGCCCCUUUGAACUGAUGAGGAAAUUGAGGUGUGAUUUGCCCUAACCCAGUACUUAGUAGAAUGCUCUAUACAUGGGGAGCUUGGGAGCCGUUUGUUGUAGACUCUGCUGACCACUUUGACAACCGCUGCCUGAAGACUAACAGGCUCCUACUGAUUCGAAGGGCAUCCCAGAUGACAUCAACCUGUUGUGUGAUGAGGAAGCAGCAUGUUCUGGUGGAAAGAGCAUAGGCCUGGGAGUCAGAGGAUGUGAGAACUAAUCCUUGCUCUGCCACAUGUCUGCUGUGUGACCUUGGGCAAGUCACUUCACUUCUCUGUGCCUCAGUUACCUCAUCUGUAAAAUGGAGAUUGAUUGUCAGCCCUGUGUGGGGCAGGGACUGUGUCCAACCUGAUUACCCUGUAUUUACCCCAGCGCUUGGAACAAUGUUUGGCACAUAGUAAGUGCUUAAUAAACACCAUUAUUAUUAUCGGACCAUGGGUGCACCCAGUGUAAUGUAAUGACAUCAUAUGAGGCAGGAGGGAACAGCCAACUUUUCCCUGCCUCAAGGUAGCCA